CAGCAGCCGCGGUAAUACCGGCGGCCCGAGUGGCGGCCACUAUUAUUGGGCUUAAAGCGUCCGUAGCCGGGUUGGUUAGUCUCCCGGGAAAUCUGGCCGCUUAACGGUCAGAAUUCCGGGAGAUACUGCCAGCCUAGGGACCGGGAGAGGCCGAGGGGAUUCCCGGAGGAGGGGUGAAAUCCUAUAAUCCCGGGAGGACCACCUGUGGCGAAGGCGCUCGGCUGGAACGGGUCCGACGGUGAGGGACGAAGGCCAGGGGAGCAAACCGGAUUAGAUACCCGGGUAGUCCUGGCUGUAAACGAUGCGGACUUUGUGUCGGACAAGCUAUGAGCUUGUCCGGUGCCGGAGGGAAACCGUUAAGUCCGCCGCCUGGGGAGUACGGCCGCAAGGCUGAAACUUAAAGGAAUUGGCGGG
rnacentral:rRNA from 1 species